GGUCACAUAUACAAAUUGGCUUUCUAUAACAACAUACAUAACAAUUUAGAUAGUAAAUAUAACUAAUCAUCACAGAUAACAUGCAAUAAGAAAUAGAUUGUAUACAUGGUGCAUAAAUGAAAUCUUCACAUGCCUAUACCAAAUGGGCACCAUGUUCGAAAACAAAGAAUUAUGUCAGCCCAAUGCACCUGGCCAUUUCUUGUGGAGGGCAUCACAUUCAUACGACGGUCCUAACAAGGAUUAAAUUAGCUGCAAUAUCAAAUAGAGAUAUACUAAAUACUACCAUGCGAGCAGGAUAUGUGGUAAUCACAUUUCUCUUUUUUGUUUAGUUGUAUUGUUAAAGAGCAACCAUGCUGAAAUCUAUAUGUAAGGAAGUGGCAGACCGGCGAUUUCAUUUUAUACAUGAAAAGGCUUAUCAAAACAAACUAGCAUGGAAAAUGGUGUCGCUACACUUGCACAAAUUAAAUAAUUCCCAAAUUGAAAUGUCAACCAAUCACCAACCACCUGUGUUGCAUACAGAAAACAAAAAUUUCCCAGUCAGGUCAUGCUAAUUGAUAUAUCAAGUAACAUCAUGUAAAGAUGAAAUACAAAGAGUAUUACAACAAAAGUGACUACUGAAAUAAAUGCAAGAUAUGCGCAAGAUGCAGUACGCCUAGCAUGUAUCCAGUGCGUCCUACUUGAGCUGCUCAAGCUAGAUAUCAUUACUUAGUUAUGCAUUAGUACUAAAAUAAAUUUCAUCAAAGAUUCAAUCAAAUUUUAUUGCAUGAGUAUCCACAUACAUAAAACUUGUUCAUCUGUGGAAACAUAUCAUCCGUUCAUCUAGCAACAAUCAAGUUAUUGCAAGUUUGAAUAAAAAAAUCUUGGAGAUUAUGUAAUGCUUACUCUCAAACUUUUUGUUUAUACAGUAGUGAUAUUCUUUGUUUCACUAUUUAUCUUUGGAUUCUUAUCUAAUGACCCAGGACGGAAUCCUGGACGCGAGGAGUAAAAAUUCCAUUUUUUGUUCUUAUUGGAUUUGUUUCGUACAUUUAUCUAUGAGAAAAUCCGGGGGUCAGAAUUCUUUCCAAUUCGAAAGUCCCAAAUGAUCCAAGGGAGCGGAAAGAGAGGGAUUCGAAACCUCGGUACAAAAAAAUUAUACAACGGAUUAGCAAUCCACCGCUUUAGUCCACUCAGCCAUCUCCCCACGUUCCAAAAAAAUUGUACAACCCAAAAAAUGAUGUCCUAAAUUUAAACCCAGCUAGAGUGAUUAGGUUUUCUUAUCUCUAAGAAUUAUAUACUAAGGUUAAGCGUUCUAAAGAAAGACAUUACAGGAAUUUGUACCCAACAUUGCUUUCUGCUUAUUUUUUUGCAUACCUUGGAAGUCGGAACUGUAAUAAGAAAAAUAAGUACUUAUUACCUCCAGGUAAAGAAAAUGGAAUAGAUCUUUGUGUUCUUGAGACCAGCUUGUAAGGUUCAAUCAUAUUCGCCACAUGGUGUCAGUGCCAUCACAAGGUAAAAUUAGAUAUUAAGUCUGUACUCACGUACUAAUGAAUUAGAGAGCAAAAAUAUCAUACCUAAUUUAUAAUCUUCAUGUAAUACUACUGCAACUCAUAACUGAAAAAGGACCACAUAAUUUAGAUAAAGCUAAUCUAUAGGAUGUGUAAAAUUAAUUUCCUCCAUAAAUAUUUCCUUUCACUCAUAUCAGAUAAAGAUAAUACUACUGCAACUGGCUCUAUCAGUUCAGGAGGAAAUUCACACAUUCAAUGAAAUAUUGUAUGGGGGUGAGUGGAUGACUUGGGAGAAAUAAAGCUUGCAAAUUUGAAUGAAGAGGAUUGUCAAGUUAUCUUGGAGAAGGGGAUUUCACAUCAAUGUCCAGAGGAGUUACAGGAUGUAUUGCAUAAUCAGAAGAGGAUUUUCAACUAUGAAUAAGCAUUGUCGAAGAUUUUUCCCCUAGAUUAUGACUGUGCAACACAACAUUCAGAAAUAAAAUCGGUAGUAUUUUACCUACCAAGGAGUCCACUGGUUUCCCAUCGUGGCCUUCUGCCUAACAAAUCCCAAACACAAAGACAUCAGCAUUCUGCUAUUAUUACUCUCUCAACAGGUACACAUUAUUUUACAGGUUAGAAUAUAUCCUCCACUUACAAAUUUCAAUCCAAAAUUUCAUUUCUAUGGACAACGAUGGUGUCCUCGAGGUGCAGUAUCUCGGGAGUCGAUGGUUCUCACCCACUCCAGGACCUCCAGUGUGCCGGACGAACCUGCCAACAAGAAGCAACCACCAAAAUGAGCAAACACCGUCGUCGUCGUGGACAACUGGCAAACAGGCACGAGACAGCCGACAAGUCGAUGACGAACCUCAGGAUGGUGCCCUUGGUGAACCAUGGUGCGCCGGCCUUCAGAUCCGGCUGGAGCAGGAUGGUUAGACUCCCUUGGCAAUACGCUUCUGGCUUGCCUUGAGGUCACCAUGAAGGGGUUCAACAGGCCGGAGACGGUCUUCUCCUUCCUCCCAUUCGCUAUCACAACAAAGCACAC
rnacentral:lncRNA from 1 species